GCUGUCGGCGUGCUUAACACAUGCAAGUCGAACGGAAAGGCCCUGCUUUUGUGGGGUGCUCGAGUGGCGAACGGGUGAGUAACACGUGAGUAACCUGCCCUUGACUUUGGGAUAACUUCAGGAAACUGGGGCUAAUACCGGAUAGGAGCUCCUGCUGCAUGGUGGGGGUUGGAAAGUUUCGGCGGUUGGGGAUGGACUCGCGGCUUAUCAGCUUGUUGGUGGGGUAGUGGCUUACCAAGGCUUUGACGGGUAGCCGGCCUGAGAGGGUGACCGGCCACAUUGGGACUGAGAUACGGCCCAGACUCCUACGGGAGGCAGCAGUGGGGAAUAUUGCACAAUGGGCGGAAGCCUGAUGCAGCAACGCCGCGUGCGGGAUGACGGCCUUCGGGUUGUAAACCGCUUUCGCCUGUGACGAAGCGUGAGUGACGGUAAUGGGUAAAGAAGCACCGGCUAACUACGUGCCAGCAGCCGCGGUGAUACGUAGGGUGCGAGCGUUGUCCGGAUUUAUUGGGCGUAAAGGGCUCGUAGGUGGUUGAUCGCGUCGGAAGUGUAAUCUUGGGGCUUAACCCUGAGCGUGCUUUCGAUACGGGUUGACUUGAGGAAGGUAGGGGAGAAUGGAAUUCCUGGUGGAGCGGUGGAAUGCGCAGAUAUCAGGAGGAACACCAGUGGCGAAGGCGGUUCUCUGGGCCUUUCCUGACGCUGAGGAGCGAAAGCGUGGGGAGCGAACAGGCUUAGAUACCCUGGUAGUCCACGCUGUAAACGGUGGGUACUAGGUGUGGGGUCCAUUCCACGGGUUCCGUGCCGUAGCUAACGCUUUAAGUACCCCGCCUGGGGAGUACGGCCGCAAGGCUAAAACUCAAAGGAAUUGACGGGGCCCCGCACAAGCGGCGGAGCAUGCGGAUUAAUUCGAUGCAACGCGUAGAACCUUACCUGGGUUUGACAUGGAUCGGGAGUGCUCAGAGAUGGGUGUGCCUCUUUUGGGGUCGGUUCACAGGUGGUGCAUGGCUGUCGUCAGCUCGUGUCGUGAGAUGUUGGGUUAAGUCCCGCAACGAGCGCAACCCUUGUUCACUGUUGCCAGCACGUUAUGGUGGGGACUCAGUGGAGACCGCCGGGGUCAACUCGGAGGAAGGUGGGGAUGACGUCAAGUCAUCAUGCCCCUUAUGUCCAGGGCUUCACGCAUGCUACAAUGGCUGGUACAGAGAGUGGCGAGCCUGUGAGGGUGAGCGAAUCUCGGAAAGCCGGUCUCAGUUCGGAUUGGGGUCUGCAACUCGACCUCAUGAAGUCGGAGUCGCUAGUAAUCGCAGAUCAGCAACGCUGCGGUGAAUACGUUCCCGGGGCUUGUACACACCGCCCGUCAAGUCAUGAAAGUUGGUAACACCCGAAGCCGGUGGCCUAACCGUUGUGGGGGAGCCGUCGAAGGUGGGACUGGUGAUUAG
rnacentral:rRNA from 1 species